GAGAGAGGCAGCUCAGACUUAGCCUUGUCUGGCUACUAGCCACCAGCUGGAAUGUAGAAACAGGUACCUGUCCAAGGAGUUUGCAUUUCAUCCUCACAGCUAUGGAAGAGACUGAAUUCGUUUAUUUUUCCUUUUGGAUUCCCAGCUCUGUUUCCUGGCCUGCCUAGCGUUUGGAGCAGCCAUGUGACUGAUUUCCAGGUUUCAACAUCACCUCUGACACCUAUUCUGAACUAUGGUCACCUGGAACCUUGUGGCCACUGAGGGCAAGAGACUUUUACUGCCCACUACCCCAAAGACAUCAUGUUAGCUGGGCCACUCCAUUAGUGCCAUCACAGUGAAGGAGGGCACUGUGCUCUGCACCCUCCACCAGAAGAGACACAUGUUGGAGGCAACAGCUAUGACAUUUGUGUGUGCUGCAGAGUCCCAUUGCACAGGUGAAUGAAAAGCCAUCAGGUCUGAGUGAACUCAGAGCAUGAGAGGGCUCCUCUGCUGAUCUGGCACCGUUGACUUUGUCCUGCAGCCUUGAAGACCUAGCAGAUCUAAUCAUUCUCCCAGGGUCUGGGGGAGAGAUCAGGGUGUUGAAUGAAGCGUACAGCAAGACCCAUGAAGGAUUCACAAGUUGGUUUUAUUGUGCAUGCCUGUCAUACUUUGCCAAAGCCACCAUCUGGGGACUUAGUAGGGACCUUAUAAAUGGUCAUGGUAUCUUGCACAACAUUGCUCCUAACCAAAGAGCCCAAGUAAGAUAAUGGGCUACAGCCCAUUGAGAGUCACUGGUCUCAUUAUAUAGCCAACACCCAGAAGCAGCUGGCCUUAUAAACAGUAGAAUGGCUUAUUAAACUUCAGGUAUGCCUCCGGCUGGUUAGGUAAACGUUCUCAAUAUGGAGUGCUGCCUGGUAGGUUGAGAAUAUUCUUUGAACCAGCGUGAUACAUGAUAACUAUUCCUCCUUUAGCCAGAAUACAUGAGUCAGGAAAUAAAGUAGUAGAAGUAGGGAUGGCGCAGCUCACAGAUACCCAGUGACAGUGACCUCCUUCUAAAAUGUUUGCUUCAUGUCUCCCUUGUAUAGAAAAUGUAAUACCCAAUAAAG